UACGUAGGGUGCGAGCGUUGUCCGGAAUUAUUGGGCGUAAAGGGCUCGUAGGCGGUCCAUCGCGUCGGGAGUGAAAUCCCGAGGCUCAACCUCGGGUCUGCAGUCGAUACGAGCAAACUAGAGUGUUGCAGGGGAGACUGGAAUUCCUGGUGUAGCGGUGAAAUGCGCAGAUAUCAGGAGGAACACCGGUGGCGAAGGCGGGUCUCUGGGCAACAACUGACGCUGAGGAGCGAAAGCGUGGGGAGCGAACAGG
rnacentral:rRNA from 1 species